GGCCAAGUGGCGGAACGGCAGACGCGCUCGACUCAAAAUCGAGUACCGAAAGGUGUGUGGGUUCAAGUCCCACCUUGGCCA
rnacentral:tRNA from 1 species